AUGUUCCCUUGGUAGCAGAUAUAUUAAAAUUAAAACAAGAUAGAGAUUAGCAUGGCCUCUGAACAAGAAUGACAAUCAAAUUCAUGACGCAUUCCAUUUUUUU